rnacentral:antisense_RNA from 1 species
AACAUCGAGAAGGAGAGGGAACGAUGACUACAAACAAGAUGGCCUUCUCCCCCGACCCGACCUCCUUCCCAGGCGCUCACACGCCCUCCUGUCCACAACCCUCCGCGUGUGUGGUACCUGACGGGAGUCGCAGUCCAUCUGCUGCCUUCCCGCUGCCAUUUCUACUCGUCAGGAACAAUGGAAAGGUGAAAAGGAAAGAGGACUACAAGCAAGAUGGCGGAAGAGGGACAUACACCUGACUAGUAGUCGAUCUUACGAGGUGCGAUGGGAUUAGUAGUUUUCUAGCCUUCUAGUGUUCCUUAAGAAUGGCGGAACCAAGAGGACGAGGAGACUACCGUAAAGAUGGCAGGCUACCUAACCUCUCCCGGUCUCCGCUUUCCACCACCUUGGGCACCUCGCCCGCCUGUGGUCUCGAAAUCCCCCCCACCAGUGGCGCACGGCCUGACGGGAGUUGCAGUCUCCCGGCUCCCGUUUAUCAUCUCAAGUCGAGACAAUGGAAGGGGAUGGGGCGGGGCCACCGGCAAAGAUGGCGGCUGCAGGGCCGGGGCGACUGCGACAUGGGAUGUGUAGUCCAGGCGUCUGGCCUCUUCCCUGCGGAAAUGAGGGAGAGGACUACGAAAAAGAUGGCGACCUCGCCCCUCGACCUCUGCGCCGGUGCCUGCUGGGAAAUGUAGUUCCUUGCCGAGCCCAACAGAGAAAGGACGUCGCUGUUGAAAUGUGAAUCCCGGCGGACACGCCAAAUUGCCAGGCGACGGAAACGGAAAGACUCUUUUCUCCUCUCUCCGCCACCGGCUUCUGAAUAGCCUGGCGGGAAAUGUAGUCCCAAGCUUUCACUCGCGAGUGGAGGGGAAGGAUUUAUGUCACCAGUGGGGAUCAGUGCGGGUGGGGGAGAAAAACGUCGGGCGAUCCGGGAAUAAAGAAUGUCCGCCUCUCCAUGGGGCGAGGACUUUGCGUUUCAGGGGAGGGCCCUUAAAGGAAGGCAGCAGGAAUCAGUCUUGUCGAACAGGGGGGCGUGGUUCUCGUCCAGAGUGUAUUCACACUCUUGUUCCCUAGAAAGCCUGGGCACCUCCCACUCGAUUCCUGCUCCUCAGACCUCCGGGAAUCAGUGUCUUACAAGACGUGCGGGCUCCGGGGAAAAGGACCUGGAGUCACAGCGAAUCCCCGCCCCGCCCCGGGAAGCCACCAAACCUUGCUUUUUCUCAUCUGCAAAAUGGGGACAAUGGGGAUAAUGAUCCCCACCUCGAAGCACAGUUGUGAGUGUUAAACAAGCCAAUAUUCUUGUCACCAAAGUGCCCAAUUCUGGCACGGGGCACGCGGUGGUAGAUCCCUUUCUAAGGUCCCUUCCUGCCCAGCCGUUCUGGGAGCCCAGGAAUCCAUGAUGCCGGACAGAGUUAGCUCCUGUGAGAAGAAAACUGACCCGCAGGCUCCUCCCAGAUUGAACCGACCCCCGCCCCUCCUCAUCGGGGUCCUCCAGCGUCUGUUACCGAGCACUGCUCCCAGGGGGCGCUCAAUCUCCAUUCGACUGAAGUACUACAAACACGAUUUCCGCAACCUGGAGUUGGAGGCAUUGCAGGCUGUCUAGUCUCAUCCCCUGCCUGAUAUCCAGUCAGCCUUGGAGGCCUCUGCCUAGACACUUCAACUGCCUAUGCAAAUGGAACGGCUUCUCAUCUUUCUGCCGUUUUUUGUUUUUUUGUGUGUGUUUUAAGGUCUUGCUCUGUCACUUGGGUUGGAGUGCAGUUGCAGGAUCAUAGUUUGCUGCAGCCUCGACCUCCUGGGCUUAAGCAAUCCUCCUCCCUCAGCCUUGUGAAUACCUGGGACUUCAGGCACGCGCCACCACACCCAGCUAAUUUUUAAACUAUAAUUUUUUUUUGUUCAGACGAAGUCUCGCUAUGUUGCCCAGGCUGGUCUUGAACUCCUGGCCACAAGUGUGCCUCCCGCCUUGGCCUCCCUAAGUGUUGGGAUUAUAGGUGUGAGCCAGCAGCCAUACCCCUCUUCUCAAUCUUCCUUCUCCCCUGGAAAACCUGCUCACUUCUGACCCCAAGACAGCCCCCUCCCCUUCCCUCUGUCUUCUGUGUUUGGCAGACCAGCCCCAGCGAGGACUUGUUGGUUGUGGUUUUUCUAUCAGGGAAGUCAAUCGCUGGCCAGUGUAGUGUGAAGUCCCAGCUUGGCAGAGACUUGCCCAAGGCUGGAUAGGAGGCUCCUUUGCAGCUCAGGCUUUAUCAGUCAGGAAAUCCUUAGCCCUCCCUAGAGGAUUGGCUGUCCCCUCUAUCCUCACUGCUUGAAUUUGGUGUUGCAUGAUUGAUUUCUACCCUGUUCCCUCUGCUUGAGGGCUAUCCUCCCCAUGCCCAUCUCACUUCUCCACCAAGUUCACUGUUCAUCAUUUACAGGUCUCUAUUUAUGUAUUUAUUAUUUAUUUUUCUACUUUCCCACUUUUCUAAAAGGUCUCUAUUUAAAUGCCACUGUCAAUCCCAGCACUUUGGGAGGCCUAGGCGGGCGGAUCAUGAAGUCAAGAGUUCGAGACCAGCAAUGGCCAGUAUGGUGAAACCCUGUCUCUCCUAAAAAUACAAAAAUUAGCCGGGCAUGGUGGCAUGUGCCUGUAAUCCCACCUACUCGAGAGGCUGAGGCAGCAGAAUUGCUUGAACCCGGGAGGUGGAGGUUACAGUGAGCUGAGAUCGUGCCACUGCACUCCAUCCUGGACGACAGAGUGAGACUCUGUCUCCAAUCAAUCAAUCAAUCAAUCAAUCACUGUCCUGGCCAGUUGCAGUGGCUCACGCCUAUAAUCCCAACACUUCGGGAGGCCAAGGUGAGAGGAUAACUUGAAACUAGGAGUUCAAGACCAGCCAAGGCAACAUAGUGAGGCCCCAUCUUUACAAAAAUACAAAAAUUAGCUGGACGUGUAGUCCCAGCUACUUAGGAGGCUGAGGGGCAAGGAUUGCUUGAGGCCAAGAGAUUGAGCCUGCAGUGAGCUAUGACGAUGCCACUCGCUGCAUUCAAGUCUAGGUGACAGAGCAAGACCCUGCUCCUGGACAUACUACUAAGUGCUUUCAGCAUUUCAUGUGGUCCUCAUAAAAAUCUUGAGGGCCGGGCAUGGUGGCUCACGUCUGUAAUCUCAGCACUUGGGAGGCCAAGGCAGGUGGGUCACCUGGGGUCAGGAGUUCGAGACCAGCCUGACCAAUAUGGUGAAACCCCAUCUCUACUAAAAAUAGAAAAAUUAGCCAGGUGUAGUGGUGUGCACCUGUAGUCCCAGCUCUUCUGGAGGCUGAGAAAAGAGAAUUGUUUGAACCUGGAAGGCGGAGGUUGCAGUGAGCCAAGAUCACAACACUGCACUGCUGCCUGGGCAACAGCGAGACUCUAUCUCAAAAAAACAAAAACAAAAACAAAAAAACCCACACAACCUUAUGAGGUAGAAUUCCAUUUUAGAGACGAGGAAACUGGGACCCUCAACUAUGCAGAAUGGAUGAGUGGUACCGCCAAAAUUCAAACCCCAGAUUCCCGAACUCAUGCUCAGAACUAUUACAACAUGCAGAAACAACAAAUCCAGUCAUGUGUGCAUUUAAUUUGGCAUAGCAACAACAACACAUUUCUCAGGCAAAAUGGAUUUCCAGCUUCUCUUGAAAAAUCCUGAAAUCUAGUCCAGGACCGUGGAUUGUAUUUAAAAAAAUAAAAAUAGAAGAAGAAAAGGCCGGGCAUGGUGGCUCAUGCCUGUAAUCCCAACACUUUGGGAGGCUAAGGCAGCUGGAUCACUUGAGGCCAGGAGUUCAAGACCAGCCUGGCAAACAUGGGGAAACCCCGUCUCUACUAAAAAUACAAAAAUUAGCUGGGCAUGGUGGCGUGCACCUGUAGUCCCAGCUACUCAGGAUCCUGAGGCAUGAGAAUUGCUUGAACCUGGGAGGCAGAGGCUGCAGUGAGCCAAGACAAUGCCACUACACUCCAGCCUGGACAACAGAGCGAGACUCAGUCUC